GAUGAAGAACGUAGCGAAAUGCGAUACUUGGUGUGAAUUGCAGAAUCCCGUGAACCAUCGAGUCUUUGAACGCAAGUUGCGCCCGAAGCCAUUAGGCCGAGGGCACGCCUGCCUGGGUGUCACACACCGUUACCCUCGCGCCAACGUCCAUCGUUGGCCGCGGCGCGGGGCGUGCGCUGACCUCCCGCGAGCGGGGUCUCGUGGUUGGUUGAAAAUCGAGUUCGCGGUCGAGGGUGCCGUGAUGAAAUGGUGGAUGGGCGACGCCCGAGGCCAAUCACGCGCGACUCUGUCCGGNNNNNNCUCCUGGACCCCUUCGGCGUCUCCGGACGCUCUUUGGCGAGACCUCAGGUCAGGCGGGGCUACCCGCUGAGUUUAAGCAUAUCAAUAAGCGGAGGA
rnacentral:misc_RNA from 1 species